CACUUAAGACCCUCUUCUAUUCAGGACAUUACAGAGUAUCAUGCACCAUUUUUAGCGACACAAUUGCUCAGUGUAAAAGUGUCUGAAAAUGAGUUCCACAAACUUCGUCACUACUCCACACUUUUUAUUUUUAAGGGGCAGUCCUUGCAACACCUAUAUCAGCUAAAUUUGUACAUUUAGCUAAUUACAGGGAAUCUUUAACAAGUCCCCUGAGCUCCUUUCACAGAACUUUGUUGCCCUCCUGCUAAUUUGGUUAUUGUCUGCAGAGGAUUUCAGCUUCUUGCUGAGGUUGCACAAUGUGCUUAUUAAGAAGAAUGCUGGCAUCUAGUUUUUAGGUGGCCUGGGUGCUGUGUAAAAGCUAGUUUUUAGGUGGCCUGGGUGCUGUGUAAAAGCUAGUUUUUAGGUGGCCUGGGUGCUGUGUAAAAGCUAGUUUUUAGGUGGCCUGGGUGCUGUGUAAAAGCUAGUUUUUAGGUGGCCUGGGUGCUGUGUAAAAGCUAGUUUUUAGGUGGCCUGGGUGCUGUGUAAAAGCAGAGGCCUCCCUCAAAGCAUGACUAAGGUCUGGAGAUUUUUGUGUAUGUACGAUUACUGUAAUGGCUGCCAUGCUGAUGAACCUGAUGAUGUUUGCAUAAAUAGACAUACUUUGCUACA